UUUGAUCUUUGUUCUUCU
rnacentral:sRNA from 1 species